AGUGCUCAGUGUUUGCGGAAGUAAACAUGGAGGCUAACGGUGAAGCUUAGCUUACAUAUUAGAAGUUGUUGUCCGACCGGAGCAGAAUAUUAACAACCUAAUCCUCAUAUAAUCCGCCAUGGUUGUUUUUCUUCCCGCUUGCGCGUUUUUGAAUGUGUUGAG